UCUAGGAGAACAGAUCCGUUUGCAAACUUUUUAUCUAGUCAGAAAAUCCACAACCGAUGAUUCACAUUUUCUAUCAAGAAAGCCUUUAGAAAACAUAAGCUACUCAACCAAAACUCAUCUUGUCUGACCAUUCCCAGAAGUGAGUGAUGCAGAAGAAUCUGAGCUACCUAUAGCUGCAAAUCCAAACCCAGUCCAAUUUUCUCAUUGUGUACAAAUCACAAAGCUGUUGUGUGCUGUAAUCCAAGCAGUCGUUGCUUCCAGCUCUUUUAGCUCACCCAGCGGAAAGUCAUGUUUGCAUCUACCACGUUCAAGCCUUGCUGAGGGGGUAUAGUCAGGAUCAGUCAGAUUACAAACUCUUUCUGCUUUCUGAUGGAUCAGAUGAGAUGGGCUCCAGAACGGAACGGUUCCCUCUUGGAGUUAGGCAGGGGUUAGACAGUUCUCGCUGGCUUCAGGAAGCCUUUUCCUAGCCCAGAUUCCUGUAUCAGCAGCAACGAGGCGCAGUGGGAACAGUGUCGAAGCUGGCUGAGGAGUCUGGUGCCUAUGAGAAGCCAACAGGGAAAGUCUGAAAGGGGCCAUCUGGGAUCUUCUGCUUGCUCUGGACAAAGGAGGCUCUAAGGGAGGUGGAGACUGAGAUGCUCUGAAGCAGGGAUUUAGGUAAUCACAUGGGUUGUGUACACCAGCACAAAAUGGGCAUUGACUAACAUCAAGGGAAACCAUUCUGCCCUUCCAGGUUUAACGGCCUUUUCUAAAGUGAUGACCGAAGGGGCUGGAAGAUACCCGCCCAGGCAACUGUGACCACCACAGGCUCUGUAAGAGCUCCACAACACCGAAUGUCAGCAUGACAUCAGCUCUGGGACCUGGCUCUCAGGUGUGUCUGUGGUGGGUAUCACGCAUGGGUGAGAAGAGGUGGGAACGCGCCAUGCACUGGAUGGGGGUCUGUGGAAAUCGCUCCUCACUUGGUGGGGGCAGCGCAAAGCAACGCAAGACCCUCUGCACUCUCCUGCGUGCUUUGUGUGCAGAGCUGGGCUCCAGUGAGAGGGAGAGCUGCCAGGUUGGCUCCCUUUCCCCAGAUGGUAUAAACCAUUCCCAGCGCUCCAUCCAAACCCGUGCACGGUCCGAUCCCCGCUAUUCGACCCUGCUGCCGUUCCUCAACAUGGGAUCCAAAGCAAACACUUCUCCCCGCUAACGAGACGGGCUUCCCAGCACCUGACGAUGCCUGGCUCUCCCUAGCUCGGCACCACCGUCCCUCACCUCGUUUACAUAUCUUCAUUUGUCAAGCCUCAUCUGAACACUUCGUAGGCUGCCUUCUCCGUUGCCCUCCAGAGCUAUGAAAAGGUCACCCGUCUAACAGGGAGAGGUGCUGGAAAUAAACUCGUGUGUUUUUCCUCUAUUCAAACAUCAGAUGUGACAUGGGAAGAUGAACCAGCUGCCAGGAGCCCGCUUGGCAUGUACGAUGCUGUGCAGCGGUUUGUCCGGGCCCUGCUUGUCUGCCACAGAUCAUUAGUCGUUCCUCUUUCAAGGCUGUACCUCUCCGUGCUAUCUCAAUGCCGCGGAUGUGUUAUUUCUCCUUGGAAAUGAUAAUUUAUGGUAGUCUAUGAUUCAUACUAAAAAUCCCAAGGAAUUGUGCAGAUGCCCAGCUCCUAGAUUACCUGGGAGGUCUAACACGUCUUUUACCACGGGCAAUGGAAGGAACAGAGGGCUCAGGAGAUCUGGUCCUCCCCGUGGAAACUCAGGAUGCCGAGUUGUGAUGCUGUCUGGAGAGAAACCUCCGCGACAGAGUAGCAGCUCCCUGCCUGCAACAAGGGCAGCAAACCCAGCCCGAACUGUUAUCUUCAUGUGUGCUGUCAUAGCUCCAGGGACUACGACCUUGCUUUGAAAGGUAUUUAACGUCUACAAGGAAGAUACAGUCAAACCAAUUCUCUUCUACCAAAGUGAAACACAGCAGAAAAAGAAGUGAGGAGAAAGAGUGAGAGGAGACCGGGCAGUAUUUCAGUUGCGCUGAGGAGCACUCGUUCCUGUUUGGAGGUAGAUGUCUGCCGGCGGCCAGGCGCUCGGUUCCGGAUGCUGAAUCCGAACCAUUCCUGAGGAUGGCACAGCUGGAAAUGGAUCAGGAAAGGUGGUUCAGAAGGGACGCAGGCAGGGUAGCGGUGGUUCUGGCAUCCCCUCCCCUCCUUCACGAGGACAUCCCAUUCACUGUUUUCAUAGUUCAUAUCUAACGCUGGGACAAAGCCUUUUUCCUCUGUAGCAGCUAUCAUGACAUGCCUUCCAAUGCAGCCCAUCCAGGUGGCUUAGAGUAGAAACAGGACAAGGGAAAACUGUGAGUGAAGACAGGCCUGAGACGUAGCGAGCAGCUGUGCAAAGACAGCUGAAGCUUCCUUACGACGUUCUCCCUAAGAUUCAUCCAUUCCUCCCCUGGCAAUGGAGUCUGGGGCUGGAUUCCUCUUCUGCAUCCAGAACACGUUUGCAGAUGGGACGUCUUCCUCCACCUAAACCCCUCGCUCCCAGGUGCCCCGUUCAGCCUCUUGCUCGUAGCAUCUGCUGCUCGUUGGAUCCCCAAGCCAAAGGAGGAGGCUGAGGGUGAACGCAUGAGCUGGACCAAGGAUACUUUGCUGUGUCCUUCCCUGACCCAUGUAAAUCCAUCCUUGUGUCCUCUCAUCCCCCCUCUAUUUACACUACAAGCGCUUUGACUUUUUGCUUUUUCUUUUCACAAUGAGCGAUACCAGUGAAAUCUCAUCCACACCUGCGGUUCUCAGAUGUUACCGCAAUAACAGCGAUUACAAUACAGCCGUGUGCUUUAAACAUUGUGUCCUGAGGCAGGUGGCAUCUACUAAUAAGAGAUGGAUUUGAUCCUUUGUUACUGGCUCACCCAGAAGUCCUACAUAAUAGGGGCAUUGCUAAAGAGGGAUUCAGGAUCCUGUGCAAUCAUACUUAACCCUUUCGUGCUGCUGCUGGUGACAUUUAUGGCUGCUCAGAAAUUAAUAUUUCAGAUGGCCAUAAGGCAGACUUAUCUGUUUUCAUCCCCAAAUUGAGAAGAAAUAUUUUAACUUCCACAAAAUAUGAAACUCUGCAAAAUGUCCAUGUCCACUUGACAAAAUCAAGAACUCAAUCCUUUCAUUAAAGGUAGAACAACAGCAUUUUGAACAUUCAAAUGUUUGAAACAUUCCCUUGAAAAACUAUUUAAAAAUAUUCCAUUUUUAAAUUUAAAAUGGAGAUGCAGUAUUUUCCAGAAGAGGGGCAAUAUUUGAAACCAUGUAUUUUGCAAUGGGCAGAGAAUCUGAUUAGAACUGGACAGCACAACAGGGAAACUGAGGCACAGCAGAAGCCACAUGAGUUGCUCAAAGACAUAGAAGAGUCACUUCAGAGCCACGGUUAAAAUUCAUGAGGACAUAACUUCUAGAGCUGCUCUCUGUUGACUGGAACACACCAAGCAGAAGCUGUCGUAUCUGAUGCCCUAUGCAAGACCUUCAGCACUGCGUGACUUGCUUUCCAGGGUAUGAGAAUAAUCUCGGGUUUUUAACAGCUCCGCAGUGACCUGAGUCCCACAGGCUUUUCUGUAGCUAUUUAAUUGCUUGGUUAUCCCAGGCUGAGCAGCCUGUGCAAAGUACCCUGAGAUGAUACCCUCCAGCAUUGACUGGAGGGGGAGCUGUUUGCCUGUAAAUGAGAACAGGACCCACCUUUUUUUCAGGCACUGAUGAAUCAUUUCACCUUUUUUCCUGACUCGUUAUAUACAGUCCUGCCAUUUAAACAGGUUAGGUGUAGAAGUCUGCCCUGUCCGUGUGGUGUCUAUGGUCGCCUUGCUGGUCACAGGGAUUGGAAGAGCCGGACACAUCACGGUUUUAAAGAUGGAAAGGAAUCUGGUAGAUACAUGAGUCCUAGACCAUUUUCCCAGGAAAUAGUUUGGAUUAAGAAGUGAGGGGAGAACUGGGGCUGCCUGGAGACCCAGAGAUGUCCACACAAGCUCCUGAAGCAGUCAUGCAGACAAUAUGCAGGUCGAGGUAGAUGCACUGUUGGGACAUCAGACUUUGCAGACCCACUUGCCAUCUCUAAUGGAGACCCUGGGCUUGGCUGAAAGGUGCAAGUUCUCAUCCUUCCCUCCAAACUCAGUGUGGAGCUUGAUGGCCCAUCCAGCUGCCAUCCCCAGCUGAGGUUUUGGGAUUCCCACCCAAGGCCAUUUCAUCUGCCUUUAAAUAGAACAGGGCUUUGAAGGAAACUGGAACUGGAACAAAGCUCCUUCCCCAUUGUGGGGUCAGCGGGGUCGAUGAAGAAGCAGCUGAGGGUGAAAUCAAUUAAUUCAUUCAUUACAGAGCUACUGCAGUCACAAAGAUAUUUCAGUUGUGCUUGCUGGGAGGUCCUCGUGAGAGAUACAUCUCAUUUUCAGCAAGGUCCCCAAGGGGAGGCCAUAGUCACACAAUUUCAUUCCUGCUGACUGAAGGGUAAUACAGACAUUCCAGGGAAAAUGUACCCUCUUGUCACCUGAAAUUUCACUCCAGAAUAGGCAACGGUUUGAGUGAAAUCAGACCCCGCUUCAACCAAGGGAGAUGUGUGACAGAAAAACCCAAACACCUGGGGAGAGAAGGGAUGGCAAAUGCUAUUUCAAGGGUUUGCAGAAUGAGAAAGUGAGGCUGGAAGUACAUGUCCCAUGGGCAGAAAAGUUUGCCACUAGGCUCCUGUUGCUGGGAAGGAUCUCCGAGAUGGCUCGGUACUUGCAGGGAAGCCUUUUCAAGCGCCUUGGUCGUGAUUCCACCAGAAACCACGUGCUCUGGUCUGUAGCCUUCUGCCCCAAAUUCAUCAUGCUGGCCUGACGGGCGUAUCAUGCAGCUGUAUUUGCGUCCAUGCCCAUCAUAUGGCCUCCUUGUGCAGCACGCACCCCUUUACUGUCUGAUCUCGUGGGGGAAGUUUAAUGAAUUUGUAUUUAAAUUCAGGUAAUUUUAAAAAGCCUGCCGAAGUCUGGUCACUGAACAGCUCUUAUUAGAAGGUAUGGUACUUUUUUUCAUGCACCUUUGUACCCCAAACCAGAGAGCAGGAUGUCGGUUGCUUAAUCUCAGUGUUGAUUUCAAAGCCUUUGCUCCUUCCAGAGAGAUUUUUCAAGAGUCCUACAAUCAGUAUCUCAAAAUCUUCUGAAGAUAUAGCCAUUUAUUGCAGGAUUUGGCUGGGUAAUGUUUCAGGGGAAAAAAAAUGUCAUCCUGUCUAAAUAUACCAUGUUAGCAAGAGAGAAAAUGUACCUAUCGACAGAUGAAUAGACAAAAAGAGCCUGCAAUUCUUGAGAAAAAAAGCAGGACUUUUCAAUCAUUUCUAUCUACCUGACAGCAAAGUUCACCUGCGAAGCAAGGACAGAGUCUAAACAGCUACAGCAUAAUCCGAAAAACACUGAAGUGAACAGGGCUAUGGAGUAAAAGCACUGAAGUGCUGAUGAAUCUAGUCCAUUCCUUUUAUAUAGAGAGGAUGCGGAUUGUACAAACAGUCCCUUCCUGGGCUGGGCUGAAAUCUGAAGAGGAGCAAUACAUCACAGGAGGAAAAGACGGAAAUUCAAGGAAGGUUCAGUGACAGCAAAGGAGCAAACUCUGAUACAUAUAUAGAGAGAUUUUCUUUCUUCCAUCCCCAUUUUCAGUCCCCAGCCAGGAACCAAAAGUGCUAGAAAUACUUCUAAGGGAUGUCUGCGUAGCCAAUUGGCCAGUUUCACAGACUUUCAUGGCUUCUAGUAGAACUUGCACGUCCCUCUCUGUCUGCCAUGCUCCAAACAAGACACACCAAAUGACAAAAUGCCAAGAAAUAUACAGAAGAAAACCAAAAGAGCCAAUUAACGAGUGAACCUGAGAGACACAGAGGGGCUGAUUCUCCACCACCCCGUGCCAAGCCCUCCGUGUGCUCCCUGCGUCCUGCUGCCGGGGUCUGCCUGCACGGGAAGACAAGCGGGAAGUGCCUCUGAAAGCCUCCAUCUCUACAUUUAUUUAAGCAAAGCUUCGGAUGGCUGACGGGGAUCAGUGUAAAAUGAAUGAUUCCACGUGGCAGCGCAGUCAUAUCCCCCUCCUUCCUUGGCUUUUUUUCAUUUCUACAAGAAAAAUGAAAUCCCCAAAGUCUGUCUGCCUGCCUGCUGCUUUCAGGGGGGUGGGUGGUUGCUCUGCUCAGUUGAACUCCGAUGUUCUAAAACUCCAGAAAAAAAUUAAGUUAACCUGGAAAGGCCUUUCUGAUUCCAACGUGUUGAUACGUUUUCUUAAGGGAGGGAGUUACAAAAGGACUUAAUUCCUCUGUUCCUGCUGCAAGAUUUAAACCCUCUUUCCUGGUGGGAUUCUGCUAUGUCCUAAAAUCCAUACUGAUGUUCAUAACAAAUUCGCCAACUAAUGUGCUGCAUUAUCACUGCCUUGCUUGGCUGUGCAGGAGUAUAAACUACAGAUUUGAUUGCAAAGAUGGGAGAGCAGCGGGUGCUUGUGCCUGUCCCACGGGGCCAGCAAACAUCACAGUAUUUUCCAGUAUGAACAUGAUGUGAUUGCAAGAGACGUGUGAGCCACUCUUGGAGCCCAGAAACAGGGACGGCCUGCCCCUGCAGAACGCACACCUGGGAAUAACCGAGCCAGUCACUGGAUGUCACCAUUGAGCUGCAGAAAUGUGGCUGAAAGUUCAUCAUUUAUCUGCUUUUAAAAGUACUGGUUUUUAAGGAAAGCAUCUGUCACUGGAAACCCUUGGGUGAGUCAGCACCUUGCUAAGGACUGGACCUUGCCUUUUGCUGGGACUUGGCAUUGGUGUCUUGCCUCUGCGUGGAUGAAGGCAACGUGCUCAUCCUCAAAGGGAACAGAGCGACCAGGGACCUCUCUGCAGUGAGGGAGCGAUUUGGUGGUGGUUAGAUGAACGUCCUGAGAACGUGAUGACACGGGGUCUGCCAAACAUCAGGAACGGUUUCCCUUCUCUGCAGCUUGUAUACGGUGCUGGGGGUGCUGUGGGACGGCAGAUGCUCUGCUAAUGCGAAUCAUAGUAAUAUUGCACAAACUCCCUUGAGCUCAGCAGAAGAGCUCAGACCAGUAUUGCCCUAUCAGACAUUCAGUAACCACCAGCAUCAGAAGGACUUGGUGACCUACUACAUGACUAGUGUCAUGAGAAUGACAGCCCUAAACAGAAGGAAAACAGAAUAAUUUUCACUUAACUGGAAAUGUUCAGUUGUUUCUAGUCUCUUAGGUUGUUAUGUAGGAAAUUAUCUCUGAUGAUCCAAUUAGUAGAAGGGAAUAGGGAUCUACAUGAGACUGAGAAUGUACUCAUAGCAUAGAUUAAAAGAAAAUUGUAUAUGUCUAUUAAAAAAAAAAUGGGGGGGAGGGGGAGAAGAAAAAGCCAACAGCCAUAGAGAAGAGAUCCUUUCUCAGAUUCUCUGAAAAAUAGACAAGACCUCAUGAGAUUCCUGAACCCGUUAGGUAAGUUUGUUUUUGGUAAGAGCAAUGUCUUAGUAACUCAGUUUUAUAUAAAACCUUACUUGUUAUAGACAAGCCUGGACACACAGUCAGGUCAGAAGAGGCAGCUGAAGAACAGGCAAGCCCAAGGAACCUUCUCAGGCAGCCUUCUUCCCUUUAAAGAAAGAGAGAAGGCAGAAAAUUCUAGAAAUGAAAUUCUAGUAGAAUUGUUUCAGACAGAAGAAUCUGUUUCAGUGGAAGAGAAGCCGGUCGAAGAGGAGGGGCUGCGCGGAGCAGGCAGGGUGAGAAGAGCGUUACGCUAAUAGCAAAGGGGAGGAUGAAGAGAAGGGACAGGGAGCGCUAAUUUAGCACAAAAUCAAGAUGUUGAGAACCAGAUUAAUUGAGGUACCAAGAGAGUUGAAGGAAUAGAAAAUCUUUAAUUGCCUCUACACCAAUGUGAAGAUUCUGGGUAGUAAAGGAGGAAUAGGAACUGCUCACAUAUGAGUAUAAAUUCGACCUACUUUGGUGUUACUGAAACCUAGUGGGAAGAUUUGCAUGACUAGAAUGUUAAAAGCACUGGUUACAAUCUGCUUAGGAAGCAAAACCGGGUAAAAAAAAGUGGGAGGGCUAUAUUCUUAUGUCAAAAAUGGCAUGGCAUGUUUCUGAGUCUCUGAGACCUCAGAAGCAAAUGAGAAACUAAUGUUCUCACAAAUAAAGACCAAAUCAGGUCCUGACUGCUAUCCAUGGCAGACCAGAGUGACUUGAUUUCUUGUUUGGCUCUUUAAACACCUCUAUAUUAUAGGUAGGAAAAAAAAGACUUUAAUCUGAAUGGCAUAUAAAGGAGAUCUCACGCUGCUAGAACUACAAUAUCCUUGAUUUUUUUUUUUUAAAUGAAGAUGACAAUUUCCUAACUUUAAAAGUGUUUUAUCCAGCAGGAGGGAAAAUGGUGCUAGACUUCAUGAUCUUGACAGAUAAAGAGAAUUCAUUCACAGAAUUAAAAGUCAGAAACUUGUUUAGAUGCAAGUGACAUAGACUCGAUUACACUUGCUACAUGCAAAUGGAAUAACGUCCACAGAUACUUGCACACGCUGGACUGAUUUCACAAAGAUGAAAGCUAUUAUGAACCCAAUCAUUUGGGUAAAGGGAUUUAAAGGGGGAAAAGUAAGUAACUAGGAACUCUAUGACAACAUUUUAUAUGCUUCAAAAAUACUAUUAGUACUGGCAAGGGAAAAAGAUUUAAAAAACCCAAACAAACCUGAAACAAACAAAAAACAUAGCUGAAGAAAGGCUAGCCUGAUAUUCAGAGGACAACUGAUAACUUGCUAUGUGAAAUGUGACCUAGUAAACACAUGCAGGUACCAGACUCAAGACAGUCUACAUUUAGGUUUGCUCAAGGUACGAGUGGAAAAUGUGCAGCUAUCUCGAAGCCACAGGAGUAGUUCUGCACUAAGUGUUUGUGACAGUUCAGUUUAGACAUCUUCAGACCAGUGAAUAAACCGUGUGUGUGGAUGAGCCCUCAGUCAUUUAGCUGCUCAUUGACAUUGAAAUUCAACUUUGUAUACCCUGCCAGCCCAAGAGCUAUGCACCAUCUGGUUCCCACAUCCGCUGUGUUGAAGGGACACCAAUAAUUCCUUGGCUUGGCUUGUGCCACUUUGGGAGUGAACUUCAGAAUGAACGGGAAAUGAAAGGCAGGGAAGCACAAAUAUUUCAUAAAAUACAGAAGGAAUUCAUAAGGUGUCUCCACAGGCCUUAGACUGAAACCUUUGGCCCAUGAAUGACAUUUCUGGAGCUUCUGAUUUCCUCCAUCAUGGAUCCUUACUGAAACCAUUUCAAUGGGGACUUAAGAGCCUAAACAUAUCAAAUGUCUGGGCCCAAAUCUCUCUGUGUCUCUUCUUUCUUGUAGGAUUGGGAAGUGUUCAGUGGAGACUAGAAAUAGCAUAUAAUGCUAUUUUUCUGCUUGUGCUUUAGAACACCCUAGGCUUUAAUUAGGAUAGCAGCUGUGCUAGAAAUGUUAGCUACACUUUGUGAUAGAGAAAAUUGGAGGGGUACUUUUGUCUCUUACAAUUCUUGUCUUUUUUUGAAUGGGUUGAUCUGAAAUACAGUUCUCCCAGUACUUGUGUAAACUAACAUGUCUUUAAAAAGAAUCUGCCAUCCAUCUUCUCUAUGCCAGGUUGAUGGAUUGUGAACCUCUGAGUAAUAUCUCUUGACUGAAUGAGCCAUCUUAGCACCUCCAUGGAGAGAAGAGACGUCACUGGGUGAAACACAGUGGAUUGAUGUAUUUUUUUUGCUAGUAGCGGGAGAAAGAUGGUUUUCAGAAUUUUCAGAUAUUGUGUAAUUACGGAAUUUGGAUGAUAUUCAGUGAAAAAAUGGGCAAUUUAAAAAAAAUUAUUCUGAUUAUAUUCUCUGAUAAAACAUGUCUCCUUAUAUUUCCAUGAGGAUCUUGCUCAUAACAAGACAGAACUCUUUGCCUUCAUCAUGUGUUGCUUUUAGUUUCAGACCUGUCCCAUACCAAGCUCUAGGUGAGGAAGGGCAUCACUGGGUACUGGUGAAGCUUACAAAAUGAAAGCCCCUUUCCCAAACACUGCUUAAAUGUUCUGCCUGAGUUGUGCAACCAGAAUUUUCACAGUGGUAACUUGGACCGAGCCCAACUUUGAAUGUGGAUUAUUCAGCUCUGCUGCUCCUAUCUGCGGGUCCAUGCUUCAGCAGGCACAAGGGCUAUUUAAAAUAAGGACACAGAUGCCUAAACCCUCUUUCAAACUCCGAGAUGCAGAACUGUGAGUCUGUAUUUGCAAAAAUGGUUUCUGCUUAGGAGAGGGGAAGAUUUACAACACUGGAGUUUAGGUAGCUUGUCUUCGAGGUAUUCCUUGAGCGUUCAGAAGAAGAGAGGCUUGUGCAGGGGGCCUUCAGGUCUCCUCUGAAACUGUCUCCUGGAAGAGGUUUUUUCUUCACUGAACAUACAACACAUAAAGCCAGAGCAACUAACUUAACCGCUCCAAGUCAGAGAGCUGAAGUUUAGCAGUAUUAAUGUCCUUUCCGUGUCUUAAAAUCUUACCCAUUGACUGAGAACGUAUCCAGAGGGCAGUGCAUUAUCAAAGGACCGCUCACCCCACGGACCGGUACGUCACGUCAAACCGCAGCUAGUGUGCUCACCAGCACAGUGGUUCAAUGGCACGCUCAGCCGAAGGCAGCAUCUCUCACAGUGUCAGUGCAUAGCUGCAUAUAGCCCCGAGCACUGUCAGGGACUGCGUUGUCCAGGACCCUUUCCAGAGCAGCAUCUGGCCCUUGAAUUAGGGGCUUGAGGCUGGCCCGCAUGCCACAUGGGAAGUCAGUUUGGUUUAUGGCACCUCAAGAGUUAAAAUCUCUACACUUUUUUUUCCUUGAUGGGAAUGAGAGAAGCAAAAUAACAUGGAAAUGGGAAAAAAAAAAAAAAAAAAAAGAAAAAAACCCGCAAGCCUAAAACAAAACUCUAGAAACAGAGAAAUAAAUAUGGUUUAAUAACUGGGACACAAUCUACAGUCUGUGGAAUUAAAGCCCUGUUUUCUACUGGCCAGCUGCCAAAGUGAGGCACAAACAAAACCAGAGAAAAGCAGGUUAAUGAGAGACUUCCCGAACAAAAAAAUAGUAAAAAAAGUGAAAGCAACGAACUCACAGAGCUGCUACUGAUGAGAUAAAUAAGAUUUGAACUGACAUUAUCUGAUCCGCUUGCUGUGCAUAUUUUAUUUGCUAGAGCCAGUCUUUUAAGUCUCCUAGACACAGGUUUCAGCCCCGUCCUCUCAGCAGCCAUCACUGCAUCCAUCUGAUCCAUCCAUCAACUUGUCCAUCCCUGGUCACAGUGGGAUUUGGUUGCAUCCUGAGCCUGUUGCUAGGACAGAGGCAAAUGCAUCGGGAAGGCAUUUGCUGCACACUGCAUCUGUCAGGAGGCUGAACAGCCAAAAGAAUUCCUGACAUGAUAGACCAGGUGUCAAAAGCAAUAAAUAAAAAUGAUAGUGAGAAUCCCUGAUGAGGAAUUCAGCUUUUCAGAACUGCUGGCCUGUAGUUGUCUUUGCAGAAGAUAUUUUUAAC